rnacentral:rRNA from 1 species
UGAAGAGUUUGAUCAUGGCUCAGAUUGAACGCUGGCGGCAGGCUUAACACAUGCAAGUCGAGCGGUAACAGGGGGUGCUUGCACCCUGCUGACGAGCGGCGGACGGGUGAGUAAUGCAUAGGAAACUGCCCAGUAGUGGGGGAUAGCCCGGGGAAACCCGGAUUAAUACCGCGUACGCCCUUCGGGGGAAAGCAGGGGAUCUUCGGACCUUGCGCUAUUGGAUGUGCCUAUGUCGGAUUAGCUAGUUGGUGGGGUAAAGGCCUACCAAGGCGACGAUCCGUAGCUGGUCUGAGAGGAUGAUCAGCCACAUCGGGACUGAGACACGGCCCGAACUCCUACGGGAGGCAGCAGUGGGGAAUAUUGGACAAUGGGGGCAACCCUGAUCCAGCCAUGCCGCGUGUGUGAAGAAGGCUUUCGGGUUGUAAAGCACUUUCAGUGAGGAGGAAAACUCUGCGACUAAUACUCGUAGGGCUUGACGUUACUCACAGAAGAAGCACCGGCUAACUCCGUGCCAGCAGCCGCGGUAAUACGGAGGGUGCAAGCGUUAAUCGGAAUUACUGGGCGUAAAGCGUGCGCAGGCGGUUUUGUAAGUCUGUUGUGAAAUCCCCGGGCUCAACCUGGGAACUGCAUUUGUGACUGUAUAGCU